rnacentral:antisense_RNA from 1 species
AGCAGCUGCAUCCUGCUCCUGUCUGGUUUUGUGCUGUGGAAGCUUUGUUCUUUCACUCUCCGUAAUAAAUCUUGAUGAUCCUCACUCUUUGGGUCCGCGCUAUCUCUAUGAGCUGUAAUACUCACUGCGAGGCUCUGUGCCUUCAUUCCUGAAGUCAGGGAGACCACAAACCCACCAGAAGGUACAAACAACUCCGGAUGUGCCACCUUUAAGAGCUAUAACACUCACCGCGAGGGUCUGUGGCUUCAUUCCUGGAGUCAGUGAGACCACGAACCCACCAGAAGGAAGAAACUCCGGACACAUCUGAACAUCUGAAGGAACAAACUCCAGACACACCAUCUUUAAGAACUGUAACACUCACUGGGAGGCUUUGUGGCUUCAUUCUUGAAGACAGUGAGAUCAAGAACCCACCAGAAGGAAUAAAUUCUGGACACAGCAACAGCACAAAGUUAAACCAGGAAGUCCCUCUGCCUUGCUAGGGAUCCAGCUUUGCCUUCUUGUUGAGGUAUCCCAUUCCAUUACAGUUGACCUAAGUUUGAACAAACACUGCCACCUGAUGCAUGAAAGCUCUACUGUGACCUACGUUAAAAGGAACUGACACUCCCUCAGGCUACCUUAGUCAGUGGGGGCUUAUUGCAGCAUACCUGUGGCAAUGAGAGAGAGAGGCACAUCACAGGAGCAUCUGGCACCAGUGGCAUCCCAAAUUUAAGAUGAAACAAUAGAGAAAGAACCAAGAAGUUACAUACAUUCAUCAGAAUUGCUGGAGAGUCCUGACCUCUGGCCAUCGAUCAAAGGGAAGCAUUCACUACUGAAAGUUUGUCUUCACUGUACUGGGUAUUCAACUUCCUUGAAAUUAAAAGGAAGAAGGAUAAAAAGUGGUAUGCUGAAUGGAUUAAAGGUAAUAUUUUGAUUAUAUCAACAGUUUUCAAACUUUUAUAACUCAUGAGCUGUUUGGGAAUAUUUCAGCAUAUGGUCAGUCCACAUCUGAAUUAUCCUGCCCACAAAAAUGUCAAGGAAAUACUUCUACUGCCCUUUCUGAAGCCAUCUUAAUUCCAGGAGUUGAACCAAUUUCAAAGUCAUUGAUAACUGCAUCAGCCAAUAUUUGUCCAACUGUUUUGAAAUGCAUUUCUAUUUCCUGUCACACCUACCUCUUUGGCUAAUGCAUUCAUUUUAUGAGUUUCAAAAAUUACCAUCUCCCUGUCCCAGUUCUUUAAAGUUGUUGAAUAAGCAAAUCUCUGUUCACUUUAUUUAUACUACUUAUGGUUAUAUAGAUUUAAUUACUUCUAAUUAGAUUUCCAUACUGGAAGUACAAAUCUAACCUUAAACAAAAAAUUCUUUUUAUAAUUCUCAAUAUCUCCAAUUAUUUUGAGCUUGUCUUCUCUGGAUCUUUUCAAGUUAUGGCAAACUUGGUUUUGAGGCAUAGCAGCAAGAACUACAUAAAUCUUUUCAAACAGAGAUAUACCAGUAUAAAUCUUGCUUUCCAGUAUAGUCCUUAAUGAUUUUCUUCAUUUUCUAGGCCUUUUUGCCUGAUGCAGAAUAUUGUUACCUAUGCUGGGGUCAGUAUUUAAUGACUCUGGGUCUUUUUCUUGAGCAGAAUCUAAAGGAUAGUCUUUCAUUUUAUAGAUGUGUUUUAGAUUAUUCAUAAAUUCAUUACUUUUUCCUCACACACAUUAUAACAUCUCUUAAGGCUCUGCCCAUUGACACGACUCUCAGGAUUAUUCUAUAAUGUCUGUCUUCUCUGGGGCGUCUUCUGUCUGGGGAGAUUUGUAUAUCUUGGAGUCUGAGACUUCACUGUGUACUCCUUCCUUAUCAUCAUUUAUAAACCUAUUCAACAGACUCUGCCCCAGAAUGGAUUCUUGAGCAAUCUUGAAUAAUUACAUGAGUAUCCAAAGAUACUGAUUUUAGGAGAACAAGGUUGUUGGGUACAGGUAGUUAAUUAUUCCUAAAACCGAAUAUGUCCAAUACCUAUGUCUUGAGAAGCUCUAAGAGAGUAACAGAAGAGCGAUAAUGGGAUGUGACAAUUGCCUGCACUGUCUUUCUAGGCUGAAAAUCCAAGAAGUUUACAUGCACUGAAUUUUAUUUCCUUUAUUUGCCUAUUUAUUCACUCCAAGAAUUCAGGAUCCAUGUUGCCGUAGUGGAAAUUGGUUAUUUCUGUUUUAGUCUUGAAUUGUCUAAUUUUGUUCAACUUGCCUGGUACAGAGGGGAGAUUCACCAGUGGGCCUCACCUGUAAGUGAGGGUCACAUCUGUAAUUCUCUGAUCUCAUGAUGCAGAAGUAGGCCACAUCUUCCCUUUUCAUCCUUGGAUUCCUGUGGAAUUUGCAGAUGCACAGAUGGAAGUCAUUUAGUCUUAGAGAGAUACCUUCAUCUGCUUUGUCAAUUGAUAAUGAAUAAGACUGAGUUGAAUGUAUUUAGAACGUCUUGGCUAUAAAUUCCUCCAUAUAGCUUAACCCACUGUUUCCUGCAGUAUGCACCCCUUUACCAAGAGAGAGAAAGAUAGAGAAAGAAUUUCAUGUUUCUGUGGGUUUUAGAAGGCUAUAGGAAGGGAUUUUUGUUUGCCCGCUUUCAGAACUUAUUAAUAGACAGUUAUUGAAUACCUAUCUUGGGCACAGAAAUAAUCACAUUCUCUCCUGAGAAUUUUGAACCCACAGUCAAGUACAGGUGUGGAAAUUUGAUGAUAGAAUUAAUACCAAUGGAAAAAGGGGCCUACAGAACUGAAAAAGUGGCCACUAGUGAUGACAGUGACCUGGGAGGGAGCAACGCAACCCAGAGAGAUAGUGUGGGGAAUCAUCACGUUCCAUUACAGCGCCCUUCUCUUACUCUCUUGGAGCUUCUCAAGCCACAGGUGUAAGUCAUAUUGGUUUUAGAGAUUAUUAGUAACUACCCAAACCCAACAAUUUUGUUUUCCUGAACCUAGAAAUGUCCUGUUUCCAACUUUAUAUUUUCAUCAACUUCUUUUUCUAUGAUGUGUGAGAAACUAGAAUAUUCAGUGUGCUUUCUUGAACACCGGCCUUGUUUCAACUCUUUAAUGAGUGGACUAUUCUCUGAAGUUGGCCCUCAGUCUUACUCUGGGUUCAUCAACCACGGUCAAGAUUUGUCCACAUGCACGUAGCAGGAGCACUUUUCCAAGAAUUGUAAAGGAGCCACAGUGCAAAGCCUUCUGGACCUGGGUCUCAUGUGAAAACUCAGCAAUGAGCCUCCUGGCCUGAGGUGAGCCUGUGGAGCACCUUGUCACAGCACGCAUAUGAUGUAUAUAAAAAAUGAACACAUUGUAUUCCAAUUACACUGAUUUGAUCUUUACAAACUAUAUGGAUGUAUUAAAUUGUCACAUGUACCCCCAAAAUAUGUACAUCUAUUAUGUAUCAAUAAAAGAAUUAACA